rnacentral:lncRNA from 10 species
AGAAAUAGAAAUAGGGUGAAAUAAUCCAAGAGUGGAAGCUGAGAUACCAGCUUGGAAAUUAUUGCAGUUAUUCAGGGAACCUAAAUUUGAGGUCAAGGAUCAAAACGAGCCUUCUCUCUGUCAAGAGAUUUCUACUUAGACUUAUGUCUUCUGCAAUGUCUUCUGCAAAUGAUUUACUGAAGGCUUAUGGUAUGCUCAGUGACCUGUAUCGUUCUCAGACGAAAAACACGUAUAUGAUCUAAAAUGCAAAGUCAUCUUCAAUUAUGGUUAAAUAUCAUCAUCACCUCUACUAACCAUUUAUAAACCUUAUAAACUCUUUUUGCACUAACAAUUUCUUUUGUAGCCCCAAAGAGCCCUCUUAGAAAGAACUUGAGCCCACAGAAAGGAUAUAAUUUACUUAAGAUCAUAGUAAGAAUUAGGGUCUUUCAAAACCAGGGAAGCCACCUGGUCCUUUGAGGAAAUCUAGGCAAGGUGGGCUUUUAAAAAAUAAUAUCCAACAUAAAGCAGAGUCUGGCAAUAGGAGGUACUAAGUAAAUAUCUGUUGAAUAAAUAGAUUUCAGAGUAACUCAAAAUUCAUUCUGAGUCCACAUGUGAUUAUAGAAGAAAACAAAGGAACGACCAAGAAAUCAACUGACAGGACUGCUGGCUCAGAGCCACUGCUAGGGUCCAAUAAGACAGUAGAAGAGACCCCUUCUCCCACUCCAUAUCAUCACAUUUGUUAUUUGUUCUCACCUUGACACUGGCUUUCUGACAGAAUAAUUUUUCCCAGUGUGUAGAUGGGAAAAGUGAGAGCUAGAGUGGAGAAGUGUGGAUUCUGGGUACUCUAGGUUUAGUAUUAGGACAGGAACCAAGGCCUCCUCCAGGACUUCAUGUCCAUCUGGGCUGUCCUUUAAUAUGCCUGCUUAAUCUUUCUCCUUAGACUUGGUUGACAGAGGCAAGUACAGUGCAGCAGGCCCUCUGUGGGACUUGCUGUAGCCUCACGGUACUAAGACUCCCAUCCUAGUUGUAGUGAUCACUAUCUUGCCUCCCAUCAAGACCAUUCCAAAUAGCAGACAUGGAAGAUGAAAACCUCAAAGACAUCAAAGGGGACAUUGGAGGUGCAUGGACAUAAGGAACUGUAUGAGAAUGUUGAGAUAAAGAUGAGUAUGCCUUUUGAAAUGGGGGCGGCAGAUGUGCUAGAUGGUAAAGGAUACCACUUCAUACAGGAUGGCUUUAAUGGGAAAAGACACAGGCAGGAUCCCACUGGUCAAUGACUUCCAGACUCCUUGAAGCAGCUGCUUAAAAUUGGAAAUGAGAAUGACACAAAGAGCCUUUUACCUACUCAUCACAGUCAUGAUGAACCACACAUGAUGAUAGUGGCAACAGACUGAAUGUUUACUCAUAAACUACCACUACCUCUUUCAUAGCCACAAAAAUUAGUUUCACAGGUUGGAAUCCCAUGUGUUCGGGGUGGGAGAAAAUCAAGUACCAGAAAGCAGAAGCUAGUAAAACAUCAAAGCUGGUGCUGAAUUCAUCUCUUGGGGCUAUCUGAAGAGAAAGUUGCCCAGGAUAUAACUCUAAAAGCAUUGCAGCACAGCCUAGAUCCAGUAUGCCACACAUUGUGACAAGACAGCUCAAUUAUUCCUGGCUCAUACUUGAGGAAGCAAAUUAUACAAUCAAGAAGCUGAAGCUGCAGUUGGAGAAAAAUAGCACCCAGGAGAAGCUGAGCAGCCUCAGCCCAGGCUCAUAGCUGAUGACAGCUUCAUGACGCACACACAGCUCCAACUCCUUCGCCCAGCCCCAGCUCUACACUGUUCCAUGCCCUGCCACCCAAACAAGGUUAAACAAGUUAAACAUUUCAAGGAAGAAAAAGUCUCCAACAAUACUACAACAGAAAAAAAGUAUUAUGUUAAAACAACAACCAAACAAACUGUUCAUCAGGAAGAAACCAGGUUAUCCAGAAUAGUGUUGUCUUUUAAAACAAUGCCAAAAUUUGAAAUGAUUAAACUUUGUACAAGUUUAAAACUCUGUUCCUACCUUGUAACCACAAUGGAUUUCCAGCUCUUACUGUCAGCACCUUCAAGCUGUGGACCUCUGCUUUCUGCAAACUGCAAUCUCUUACCAGUCUCUUCUAGUUGAACUGUCAUCUUCUCAUUUAAUAUCUCUAAAUUAUUCUUUGCUAUCCGUAAUUUCUCUGCAGCAUCAGUUUCCUAUCAUUAAAUGCUAAUUAGUAUUUUAUGAGAAAACA